rnacentral:rRNA from 1 species
GGGCCAUCACUGACGCUCAUGGACGAAAGCCAGGGGAGCGAAAGGGAUUAGAUACCCCUGUAGUCCUGGCCGUAAACGAUGAACACUAGGUGUCGGGGGAAUCGACCCCCUCGGUGUCGUAGCCAACGCGUUAAGUGUUCCGCCUGGGGAGUACGCACGCAAGUGUGAAACUCAAAGGAAUUGACGGGGGCCCGCACAAGCGGUGGAGUAUGUGGUUUAAUUCGAUGCAACGCGAAGAACCUUACCAGGGUUUGACAUCCUGCGAAUCUCUUGGAAACAGGAGAGUGCCUUCGGGAACGCAGUGACAGGUGGUGCAUGGCUGUCGUCAGCUCGUGUCGUGAGAUGUUGGGUUAAGUCCCGCAACGAGCGCAACCCACGUCUUUAGUUGCCAGCAUUCAGUUGGGCACUCUAGAGAGACUGCCGGUGAUAAACCGGAGGAAGGUGUGGAUGACGUCAAGUCAUCAUGCCCCUUACAUCCUGGGCUACACACGUACUACAAUGCUACGGACAAAGGGCUGCAAGUUCGCGAGGACAAGCAAAUCCCAUAAACCGUGGCUCAGUUCAGAUCGUAGGCUGCAACUCGCCUACGUGAAGGCGGAAUCGCUAGUAAUCGCAGGUCAGCAUACUGCGGUGAAUACGUUCCCGGGCCUUGUACACACCGCCCGUCACACCAUGGAAGUUGGCCACGCCCGAAGCCGUUACUCCAACCCUUGUGGAGGAGGACGUCGAAGGUGGGGCUGAUGACUGGGGUGAAGUCGUAACAAGGUAACCGUA